UUAAGUUUCAUCAAUUCAAAUCAAACGUUAUGAAAUUAAAUUUUACAUUUUCUUAAACCUUAUUGAAUUACGCACAUAUUUCAAGCGAGAGAUAAUGAAAUGAAAUUUUAAAAAUAAUUCAAAAACCCGAAAUAGAAAUGGAAAUGGCAACUUUGAUCUCGGUCGCCGAGGCGAACCCUACCGCCUUUCAUGGGUACUAUGGUUAAGUAACAAUAGAGAACAGUCGCAGAAGAUCAAUCGUCUUACUUCCGUAAACAUUUAAAUUUAUUUUAACUUUCUUGAAAUAUAAUUCUUAAAAUCUCUGGAAUUUAACGAUUAUUGUUCAACAGAACUUGAUACACUUUACUAUUUAAAUUUUUUCCUUCAGAUUUUUUAAAAAAUCUCGUCUUUGCCGCUUGAUUUCGCUUCUGUAUUUAAUUCGGUUUGGCAACAUGACAGCAUUGCCAACUCAGCCUGUGGCCCCUAUGGCUUCUCCUUCUUCCUCCUUCCUCCCCGCCCAAAACAAAUGUCGGCAGUCAGUCAGCAGUCAUAGCCUUUGCGUUGGAACUUGGAAGAUAUUUUGUUGUGUUAAGUUGUUUAUCGAGACGAAGGCUAUCAAUGUUGAAUGCUUCACCAGCUUCAAUCAGCUAUUUUUGUGUUUUGAAUGAUAAAUGGUAAAUUACGUUAAUCUCAACUAAUUUUUACAGAAUGUGUGGGUCCUAGACUAGAUCAAUCCAUUUCACCAUGUGCAGCAGUGCAGUUAAAUAGUAGCUGACAUCAUGUGACAUCUUUCUGCAAUGAUGAUAUGUUCAUUCUGUUCAGCACAAUGUUGUGUGGUGAUUCAAUAUUAGUCAUGGAGGACUCUGUUUUAAGUUACGCAAUUCAGAUAAGUUGGUUGGUGAUUAUUGUAUUAUUAACUAUGUCUUUUUCAUAAUGUUUUGGUGAUUCAAAAUUGCUCAUCGGUUCAGAAUGAUGACUGGAUUAUUACAGUAGUGCUACAGUCUGGAUGGGAUUCAACUCGUGGAAUAACAGUUGUUAAUUUUGGUCCAAGGCUAUCCUGCUGGCUAGGGAGGAAGUAAAAUCAACUGUUUGGGAUGUAAUUACGAGUUCCUUAUUCAUUCAGUGCCCUAUAACUAGUGUUUGAUGGCCAGUCACCCUGUAUGGAUGACUUUCAACUGUAACAUCUGUCAACAUCUAUGGAAAUCACUUAAGGAUUGUUGUUUUCCUGAUAGACCUAUUCAUGUCACCUCUUUACGUUUUGUUCCUCUUCUGUUCGUCACCAACAUAAUCAGCUGGAAGGUUUCAUAAAAUUCUAACACAAUAAACUAACACGAAUA